rnacentral:rRNA from 1 species
UUCCGGUUGAUCCUGCCGGACCUGACUGCUAUCGGAUUGAUACUAAGCCAUGCGAGUCAUUGUAGUAAUACAAGGCAGACGGCUCAGUAACGCGUAGUCAACCUACCCUAUGGACGGGGAUAACCUCGGGAAACUGAGAAUAAUACCCGAUAGAACAUUAUACCUGGAAUGGUUUAUGGUCAAAAUGAAUUUCGCCAUAGGAUGGGACUGCGGUCUAUCAGCUUGUUGGUGAGGUAAUGGCCCACCAAGACUAUUACAGGUACGGGCUCUGAGAGGAGUAGCCCGGAGAUGGGUACUGAGACACGGACCCAGGCCCUAUGGGGCGCAGCAGGCGAGAAAACUUUGCAAUGUGCGAAAGCACGACAAGGUUAAUCCGAGUGGUUUCUGCUAAAGGAACCUUUUGUCAGUCCUAGAAACACUGGUGAAUAAGGGGUGGGCAAGUUCUGGUGUCAGCCGCCGCGGUAAAACCAGCACCUCAAGUGGUCAGGAUGAUUAUUGGGCCUAAAGCAUCCGUAGCCUGCUUUGUUAGUUUUCGGUUAAAUCCAUAUGCUCAGCGUAUGGGCUGCCGGAAAUACUGCAAAGCUAGGGAGUGGGAGAGGUAGACGGUACUCGGUAGGAAGGGGUAAAAUCCUUUGAUCUAUUGAUGACCACCUGUGGCGAAGGCGGUCUACCAGAACACGUCCGACGGUGAGGGAUGAAAGCUGGGGGAGCAAACCGGAUUAGAUACCCGGGUAGUCCCAGCUGUAAACUAUGCAAACUCGGUGAUGCAUUGGCUUGAUGCCAAUGCAGUGCCGCAGGAAAGCCGUUAAGUUUGCCGCCUGGGAAGUACGUACGCAAGUAUGAAACUUAAAGGAAUUGGCGGGGGAGCACCACAAGGGUGAAGCCUGCGGUUCAAUUGGAUUCAACGCCGGA